rnacentral:lncRNA from 10 species
AGGGAGUUCUGCCCCUGCCAAGGGGUGCUGGCCACGCAGGAGGCUUAACCUGGCCGGCGCGGGAAUGGGGUGCAGAGAGCAAAGAAAUGUGGCUUUGAUCUUAUGGAUGCCUUACUUUUACAUUAUUUGUACAGUUCUUGCAGUGAGCUUUCCGGACCACUGUCUUGUAUGUUUCCUAAGAAAAGCAAAAAGGGAAGAGAUUGAAGAGAAAGUAGAUUUUCAACUACAAACUUUCAUCCAUUUGCUUUCAGCUUAAGCAAAUGUGCGCAAAGUUGUCAUGGAUUUUUGCAGUCAAUAAAAACCAAGCAAGAAGACUGAAUCCCAAGUCAUCUGGUAUAAAUGGAAGCAGUUUCUGUGAUAGUUCCACGCGGUCAGAAGGGUCAUCCUGGCUUAGGAGAGGGGCAGAAGAGGAAAUGCACGCGUGGAAACAGGAGUGGGCAGGGAGGAUGUGACACUGUCCUCCUCACCAGGCCACGUUCCUGGCACCAACCAUAGUGUUUGUGAGGGUCAAUUUAAUUGUUCUUGUGCUCUCAUAGAGGAAGCUGUGUCUUUCAUCCCCUUGUAAGAGUUUUCACUGAUGAAGGGGGUCUUUUAUCUUCAUAUCUUGGGAACUACUGAAACUGUUUCAAAGAGUCAAAGACACCAAUAACUAACAGAAAUUCUUGUUUUCAGGGGCAGAUAAGAAAAGAAACAAUUUGCUGAAACUCCCUCUGCUUAUAACAAAACUGACUGAAAUCAGCCGGAAUCAAUAUGGCCAAAUGCAGUUUGCGCACAGCAAGCUUGCUGAUGUCACAGCCUGAAUUUCUACUGCAUGUUUCAUACCAACUCCCUCCAAAUUUGCACAUGGGACCCACCAGGAAGCAUGAAGAGAGAGCCAUGCAUGCCUGAAGACUUCCCAGAUGUUCCCUUUGCUUCCACCAAUCACCUGCUAACCCCAGGAUCCAACCCUAAACCUUUUGUAAUAAAAUUACUGCCCUAAAGCCAGUACAAGACAGAUUUGAACUGGACUUUUGUUUCCUCAGAAGUUAACUUGCAAUGUGAAGCUUUCCUUUUCUCAAAAACUUGGUGUCAUAGUGUUGGCUUCUAGUGCAGUGAGCCCCUUUUGCUGGAUAACCUUACCUGGUAAUUUGACAUACUAGGUGGUUAGUAACUACUGACUGUCUCCAGGUUACAACACAGUUAUUACCCACUUGGGUGAAAAGAGAAGACAGGAAAUACAUUUUGGAGUUGGCUGGCAACCUGUUUACAAAGCAAUUUACAACAGUUCCUUAUUCUUAAGGGGCUAUUCUAAUACAAGACCUCAGAGAAACAGUGCAGUGUGACAAAGGAGGAAUUUAUCAAAGGAGACAGAAAAAGCAUCAAGGCAAGCUGUGAAAUGGUGCGGUAGGAACCAAAUAGAGAGCCAAAGGAUCUUUCUGUCACUGCAGGCCCUUAGGGAGAAUGUACAACUCCUCUGCCACAACGUGAGGGAGAGAAGUCUGCAGACGGCUGACUGGUGACGACUGAACAAGACGGAAAGGCAAGUCGCUAUGCCCGAAGCCUUUGAAGGGAGCCAGCAGGGUCCAUGGGAGGUUCAGGACACAUAUCUGCAGCCCUGCUUCUGGCCCCACCCUUGGGGAAGCCUUUUGCAGGUGAUCCUGGGCCUCUGCUGGGGAAGGCCCCAAGAGGUGAAGCAUCCUCUGCAGAGGAGAGAGCACAUCCGGAAGUAGAAGACAGACCACUGUCUGGGCUCCGUUUAACUGCUGUGAUUUGGGAUUGUAACUUACUCCCGUAAAGCCUCAGUUUCCCACAUGGAAAAUCAAAUCGAUCAUUGUUAUAACAUUU